rnacentral:rRNA from 1 species
GACGAACGCUGGCGGCGUGCUUAACACAUGCAAGUCGAACGGAAAGGCCCUGCUUUUGUGGGGUGCUCGAGUGGCGAACGGGUGAGUAACACGUGAGUAACCUGCCCUUGACUUUGGGAUAACUUCAGGAAACUGGGGCUAAUACCGGAUAGGAGCUCCUGCUGCAUGGUGGGGGUUGGAAAGUUUCGGCGGUUGGGGAUGGACUCGCGGCUUAUCAGCUUGUUGGGGGGGUAGUGGCUUACCAAGGCUUUGACGGGUAGCCGGCCUGAGAGGGGGACCGGCCACAUUGGGACUGAGGGACGGCGCAGACGCCUACGGGAGGCAGCAGUGGGGAAUAUUGCACAAUGGGCGGAAGCCUGAUGCAGCAGCGCCGCGUGCGGGAUGACGGCCUUCGGGUUGUAAACCGCUUUCGCCUGUGACGAAGCGUGAGUGACGGUAAUGGGUAAAGAAGCACCGGCUAACUACGUG